GAUGAACGCUAGCGACAGGCUUAACACAUGCAAGUCGAGGGGCAUCACGGGAGUAGCAAUACAACUGGUGGCGACCGGCGCACGGGUGAGUAACGCGUAUGCAACCUACCUAUCAGAGGGGAAUAACCCGGCGAAAGUCGGACUAAUACCGCAUAAAACAGGGGCACCGCAUGGUGAUAUUUGUUAAAGAAAUUCGCUGAUAGAUGGGCAUGCGUUCCAUUAGGUAGUUGGUGAGGUAACGGCUCACCAAGCCGACGACGGAUAGGGGAACUGAGAGGUUGGUCCCCCACACUGGUACUGAGACACGGACCAGACUCCUACGGGAGGCAGCAGUGAGGAAUAUUGGUCAAUGGGCGGGAGCCUGAACCAGCCAAGUCGCGUGAAGGAAGAAGGAUCUAUGGUUCGUAAACUUCUUUUGCAGGGGAAUAAAGUGCAGGACGUGUCCUGUUUUGUAUGUACCCUGAGAAUAAGGAUCGGCUAACUCCGUGCCAGCAGCCGCGGUAA
rnacentral:rRNA from 1 species